rnacentral:rRNA from 1 species
GAGGAAUAUUGGUCAAUGGGCGCAAGCCUGAACCAGCCAUCCCGCGUGCAGGAAGACGGCCCUAUGGGUUGUAAAUUGCUUUUCCAGGGGGAGAAACUUGCGCACGUGUUGCGCAAUUGACGGUACCCUGGGAAUAAGCAUCGGCUAACUCCGUGCCGGCAGCCGCGGUAAUACGGAGGAUGCGAGCGUUAUCCGGAUUCAUUGGGUUUAAAGGGUGCGUAGGCGGACUAUUAAGUCAGUGGUGAAAUCCUGCAGCUUAACUGCAGAACUGCCAUUGAUACUGAUAGCCUUGAGUUUGGUUAAGGUAAGCGGAAUGUGUAAUGUAGCGGUGAAAUGCUUAGAUAUUACACAGAACACCAAUUGCGUAGGCAGCUUACUGAGCCGACACUGACGCUGAGGCACGAAAGCGUGGGGAUCGAACAG